UUCUUUACAAUUACUUCAGGUCCGAUGAAUCACCUAAUAUGAGAGCAAUUUUGGCCUGACAUGGGGAACUCCAGAGCUCCCUGUUGAGUUGGACAAGGCUUUGUCAGGCCUACUUCACAGUUCGGUUUCUUCUUCUUCUCAAUACCACUUCCCUCUGCCCUUGCCUUUAAUAGGAAUUGAUCCCUAACAGACAUCUUGCACCCCAAAUUCCAUCUCAAUGCUGACUUCCAGAGAACCCAGUCUAUGAAAGUUGGCCCUGGGAGUGGUCUCAAAAAUGAGCAGUAAGGUGAAACUAUGGAGCAUGAAAUGACAAUGAAGAUUCCAUCAGUGAUGGAAACCCAUAUGUUGAAAUAAAGAAGACAAUCCCCACUCCACUUGCUAUUUUUGGCAGUUCAGCAUCCAAAUACCCUUCCUAUAUUGGGGAAAUCCCAAGAUUGCAUUGUUUUUUAUUUGUGGUUGUGGAGCCGGAUACAGUGAAAUGACAAACUGUAGGAAAGUUGAGAAUAUUGACCAGAGAGUAAUUGAAUUUAUGUACCCUGGUGUCUAUGCUGGAUAAUAACACAACUAGAAGGGUGCUGUUACUUUGAAAGGAGAUGGAGCUUCAAGGACUCAAAGUAUCAGUAUGUGCCAAAAAAAAAAGUAUAAUGUGUACAGAUGUGUAAGAACUAGUCUGAUUUUUUUAAGUUAGUAAAAAAAUAAAAUUUGAAGAUUAAAAUUUCAAAUCUGGGCAGGUCAAAUUUCAGGUAUGGCCAAAGGAAAUGUUUUUUUGUUUGGAGGGCAGAUGAACAUCACUGAAGUUGAGAAUGUUUGAAUGGGUCUUUGAAACUGAAGUUUCCAGGAUCACGACAAGAUUUGGAAUACAGAGAAGACUCUUGAGCCCAGUGACAAAAUCAUGAAUUGUGUGUGAGGAGGAAAAUCAGGACUGUAACCAUUUUCUCUUUCUCUUCAGUGUUCCUGCCUUGGCCCAUGAAAUGAAGCCUCUAGCUUCUCAGAAGUAUUGGGGAAUAAGAUUCUGUCAUUACACCACCUCUCCUUAAUGUUUUUCUGGAAAUAUGAUAGGAGACUUAUAUCCUAUGGUGCCUACUUCUCUUCUGAAUAUGACUAAUGUACAGCAUGUACAUAGCACAGAAACUAUUUGGCUCUCUACUUCAGAAUAACCUGCCCAGUGGGGUGUUCUUUUCUCUGAUCCUCCCUCAUCACUGAUCAGCCUAUUGAGCGAUGCCCUGCCAUUCUUGAAGUGAAAGUCCUGCCCAGCUGAAUCUCAAAGUAUCAAUAAGAAAGAAUAUCCUGGAAGGACAAGAGUGGGGAAAAGUAUACCAGGCAGAAGAUAUUGUGGUUACAAAAGUACAAACGCAUAAGAAAAUGGGUUGUAUGUGGAAUCCCAGAUAGAAUAUCUUAACACAGGGUGCAUUUAAGAAGGUGGCAAGAGAUGUUAGUGGAAUGAUGGGGACAUUAUCUACCAUGCUAAAAAUGUUGGACUUUAUCUUGACAGAACAAAAGUCUUACAGAUUUUUAGCUGAUACAUCAACAACCCAUAGGAGGAAACCAUUUUCCCUCCUUCUAUUCAGGAGUUUGCUACUAAUACUCAAGUUACCUCCAAAAGCUGUAUACCCCGAGAGUGAACAUAUGUAAGAUUUUUAAAAACUAACAAUGUGCUUAAUGUAAUCCAAACAACUCAAGAAAAAGAUUAAGAAGCUACCAAUGAAAGAGAAAUGCUAAAAAAAAAAAA
rnacentral:lncRNA from 1 species